GGAUCCUCCUUCCCAGCUGUCUUCCAGGCCCUGGGAUCUGGCACAGCCUCCCAGACGGGCGCUUCCUGUAGCUGAGCCACGUCAGGGAGCAGUGGGGACAGGUCACCUCGUCCCAGCAAUGCCGGCUCUCAAAGAGGCUUAGAUGGAAGACCCCAGUCCCUCAUGGAGAGGCUGUGUCCAGGAUCCUGGAGUCUGUUUCCUGCUGCAGGAGGUUUGAGCGGGGAGAGAUCACUCACUGUCACGACCCAGGGGUCUCCAACCCGGGUCUGCAGGGUUCAUGGGAGCAGCCACACUCCAACCCUCCACCUGGAAGCCUGCUGAAAAUUGCUUACCUCGGACCCAUGAAGUUCAGCCCCAGUUUGAGGCUCCACUCCUGAGGUCCUAUUGGAGGAGUCCCAGGAAAGCUCACUGGCCCCCUGGCCCUGCGUAAGACAGCAGCAGGAACACGGAGCUGACUGAACACCACGCCUGCUCCCGGUUCUGGACUGGGCGCUGCCUGGUUCUGCUGCCGCUCCCCUGGCUUGAUUUCCUGGCAUCUGAGUUGUGGUGGUGAUCGCAAGUUUGUCUUUUGCUGCUGAUCUUCCAGUAUCCUGACCCGGCUGACUCUCCACUCCUGUCAUGGCUCCCCAUCCACCCUGGAGUUGAACACCAGAUGGGAGCUGAUGGAUUAUCCUUGGUGGGCCAUGUUCUUGUGUGUGAUGAGAGGGCCAGGAGCAGAUGCACCACACCUGGUCAGGACCGGGCUAAACAACCUGUAAUGCUAGGUGAGUCAAACCAUGGCCACAAUACAGACCCCCUGGGCAUCCAUGGGGACUGAAUCUGGGCCCUUCACUACGAAGAGCACAACUCGUUCCAACUUGAGUCAUGAUGCUGGUGACCCCUGCCAGCCCCUUUGAGGGGGGGUCAGUA